rnacentral:lncRNA from 1 species
AGAGGAGGUUCCUGGAGGUAGGAGUUUAGCUUUAGUUACUCAGUCAAGGGAAACAAUCACAUACCCAGCAAUUUUUGGGGAGCCAGUGGGCCCGGAAGAGGAGCCAUUUAUAAAUAGCUGGUCAUCGGGGUUGGUGAGAGGCUCGGAGGAAAUGUUUGGAAAGUGUGGCUGUAGGUGAUCCAGGAUGUCAGUGCAAGAAUGAGUAGGAGGGGAAGAGGAUACGGGGAGUAAGGAUGCUGGGUUGAGAGGAGCACUUUUGGCAAGACUUGAAUUCAGGAUUUUUGAUAAAGAGGGCAUGGAGUAAUUGAAUCCGGGAAGGAGGAAGGGAGCUUAAUGCUUGGGAGGAAAGGAGAUUUUGUAGAUUAUGAGGACUGUGGACGGUGGUAUUUUGGCUGAAUGUUAAGGAGCUGCUGUCCACAAACUAAGUAAAGGAAGUAUUUAGAAGGCGUUGGUCUGUUAGGUUUGGAAAGGGUAUAAGAAAGGUUUGAACAGUGUUUACACAGAAGUGUGCAGGGUCUUGACAGGUAGAAAUUUCAGGUAAGAGCAUGGCUGGGUUUAGACGAGAGCUGGUUAGCACGGUGAUUUGGGGAGUUUUUAUGAAUAGAGCAUACAGUUGGAGAAGCUGUGAGGGGGAGAUGAAACUUAGUACACUGUGGUGAGUUAGCAUGUUUUUGAUGUUAUGGGUUGAAUAAACUGUUAGGUUGGCAUGGAGAGAUGGUUUUAGGCUUUUAAGGUGAGGACAGCAGCUGCUGCCAAUGCUUGGAGACAGGCAGGCCGUUUGAGAACUGUGGCUUUAAGCUGUUUAGAGAGGUAGGCAACAACCUGGAGGAUGGGUCCUUUAGACUGGGUUAGAACACCCAGUGUAACUUUAUGCCAUCCGUUGGUAUAGAGGGAGAAAGGUUUGGUGAGGUCUGGGAGAGUGAGGAUGGGGCUGAGGUGAGAGAUUUUUGGAGGAGACAGAAAGGCUGGGUAAUAGGCUAUGCAGAGUUUAAAGGCUCAUGGAGAGGGCCUUUAGUAUCUUGGUAUAACAGUUUGGCAAGUAGAGCAAAGGAGGGAAACUAGAGCCUAAAAUAUCCUGCUAGUCCUAGAAAAGAGAGAAUUUCUUGUUUAGUUUGUGGAGGUGGGAGGGACUGGAGGAGGGAUAUGCGGUGGGUUGUGAGCCUUCAGGUUGGCACGGUAAGGGCUAGGCCUAGGUAGGUGACUGAGGGGGUGUAUAUUUGUGUUUUUUUAGGGGAGACCUAAUACCUCUGUUCUGCUAAGAAGUUUGAAAGAGAGAGAUAGUCUGGGCGUUGCAGUUUUUUUGAGAGGGGCUACACAGGAGCAGAUUAUUAACACAUUGAGGGAGAAUGGAUGCUUUUAGGGAUAAGGUACAGAGGUCGUGAGCAAGGGCCUGCCUAAAAAGAUGGGAGCUGUCUCUGAAGCCUUGAGGUAGUACCCACCAGACAAGGUCUUACUCUGAGAACCAGGCUGCAGUGCAGUGGCAUGAUCACGGAUCACUACAGCCUCAAACUCUCAGGCUCUGGAGACUCUCCCCUCAGCCUCCCAAGUAGCUGGGACCACAGGCACCUACUACCAUGCCCAGGACUCAUGUGAUUAUACUGAACUGACCCAGAUAACCCAGGAUAAUUCACAUCUCAAGACCCUUAAACUUGAUGACGUCUGCAAAGUCCCUUUUGCCAUAAGGUUAUAUUGGCAUAUGGUCCAGGAAUUAGUGCAGAGCCACAAUCUCAGAAAGAAAAUGAGAGUGGAUAAUGAAGACAGAUCAUCUGGGUGUAAACCUGAGGAUAUUCCAGAAUAUAGAGGUUAGAGAGAUAAGAAAGAAACUAGCAAGGAAACUAAGGAGCAGCCUCUAAGUAGAAGGAAAAGAAUGGUGAGUUGUAAUUGGAGGUGAAGACAGUUUCAAGGGAGGGUAUGUUAAUUGCUGCUGACACAUCAAGGAAGAUGAGGACUGAGCAUUGACCAUUGGAUUUAGCAACAUGGAGUUUUCUGCUGACCUGGACCUGAGCAGUUUUAAUGGAGUGGUGGGGGCAAUGCAUGACAGAAGAGAAUUCAAGACAGAAGGGACUUUUCCAAAAAAAAAAGGUAUACAAAUGGUUAUUGUGCAACGUGGAAAGAUGUUCACCAAUAUUAGUCAUUUAGGAAAUGAAAAUCAAAAGCACAAUGAGUUACCAGUUCACACUCACUCAGAAGGCAAUAAUCAAAGAAAUGGACAAUAGCAAGGGUUGGGAAGGAUAUGGAGAUAUUCUCCCACAUUGCUGGUGGAAUGUAAAAAUGGUGAAGGUGAAGGUGGAAAAACGGAAAUGAAGUAUUGAGAGGGAGAUGGAAUAUAAGAAGCUUUCUGACAGAUAACCCAAUGGAACAAACUGACUGACUGGGCAUCUGAAAUGAGUAAGAAGGAGUCAAAAAUGAGCAAAAUUAUGCUUCUCUGUGGAUGCAAAUCAUAUCUCCAUUACUUACACCCAGGAGAACUUGUAUGAAGUAGUUAACUUCUCUGGAUUUUAGCUUUUUCAUGUGUACAAUGGGGGGUUUAUGCCUCAUAGAGUUGUAGAAACUGCAAAUGAGAGACUUAUGAAAAGCCUACUGAAUGACCUUAUGAAUAAUAAUAUCAUCAGUGGAAGGUGAUUUGAGGAUGUGAUGCUGUUAUCCCUGACAUGGGCAGGAGGGAACUUGGACAAAGACCAAGGAAGAAAAUAUCUCUUCUCUGAAUGUCUUGUCUGCAUUUGAGUGCAAUGUCCUUUAUUCCGUGUCUUCCACCCAAUCAGGGCCCUACUGCCACUUAAGGGGUAAUUUCUCUUUCAAUC